rnacentral:rRNA from 1 species
AUUGAACGCUGGCGGCAGGCCUAACACAUGCAAGUCGAACGGUAACAGGAAACAGCUUGCUGUUUCGCUGACGAGUGGCGGACGGGUGAGUAAUGUCUGGGAAACUGCCUGAUGGAGGGGGAUAACUACUGGAAACGGUAGCUAAUACCGCAUAACGUCGCCAGACCAAAGAGGGGGACCUUCGGGCCUCUUGCCAUCGGAUGUGCCCAGAUGGGAUUAGCUAGCAUGUGGGGUAACGGCUCACCUAGGCGACGAUCCCUAGCUGGUCUGAGAGGAUGACGAGCCACACUGGAACUGAGACACGGUCCAGACUCCUACGGGAGGCAGCAGUGGGGAAUAUUGCACAAUGGGCGCAAGCCUGAUGCAGCCAUGCCGCGUGUAUGAAGAAGGCCUUCGGGUUGUAAAGUACUUUCAGCGGGGAGGAAGGGAGUAAAGUUAAUACCUUUGCUCAUUGACGUUACCCGCAGAAGAAGCACCGGCUAACUCCGUG